rnacentral:rRNA from 1 species
ACGUGUGCUUCCCUGAUCCGAGAGGACCGGGUAAACCGUUGAGCACCCUUCGUGACGGGGAUAGGGGCUUGUAAUUCUUGCCCUUGAACGAGGAAUUCCUAGUAAGCGCGAGUCAUCACCUCGUGCUGAUUUCGUCCCUGCUCUUUGUACUCACCGCCCGUCGCUAGUACCGAUCGAACGAUUCAGUGAGGUCCUCGGACUGGAGCUCGGAGCAGUCCCAGCGGC